AGAUAGGAGUCAGGGCGCCUGGCCCGCAGGACACUAGAGAUCUGCGGAGGAGAAGGGAUGAGUCUGCCAGGCCCACCAGCCUGGCCCCCAGACCCUCCCCACCCCACACACGCAGACACGUCUUACAAGUCCUGUGAGAUAGGGGCUGCCAGCGUCUCCCAGGAUGUGGCCCACCGUGAUCUGAAGUGCCUCUGCCGUCCCCCGGCAUCUGGGCACCACCACAGACUGCAAAACAUAGGCACAGCAGGGGGGCACCCCAAGUGAGGGCACCCUUGCCUGCUGUUCCCCACCUGCCAAGGACCUGCCUGGAGGAGUGACAGGCCAUUCAGGUGAGUGGGAUGGGAGGGAGUCGACGGUCCCCAAGGUCUAAAGUCCCACCCCAGAACAUCAAGACAUCAAGCCCAUCUGAAGCUUCCCCAGUGCCCCAGGAUGGGGGUGCCAAGGCCCCUGAUCAGGGCCACCCCUCUUGAGAGUUUGCUCUUGAACUGGGAAGGAACCAGGAUGCAGCAGCACAAGCGGGCAGGGCGAAGAGCGGGUGCAUGCCAGGUGUCUGCAUGUGCAGGCAAUUGGGCAGGGGUGGUACGGAGGGCUCAGUCCUCUCAGGAACCUCAAGGCCCCUGGGGCAGAGACCAAAGGCGGCCUUGCUGGAGAAGCCCGCACGACUCCACGGACAAGGCUGAGAACAUAAAGAAGAUGAACUCUGGGCCAGGCGCGGUGGCUCACGUCUGUAAUCCCAGCACUUUGGGAGGCCAAGGCGGGUGGAUCACCCGAGGUCAGGAGGUCA
rnacentral:lncRNA from 1 species